UACAGAGGGUGCGAGCGUUAAUCGGAUUUACUGGGCGUAAAGGGCGCGUAGGCGGUUAUAUGAGGGUGAUGUGAAAGCCCUGGGCUUAACCUAGGAAGUGCAUCGCAAACGAUAUGACUGGAGUACUAGAGAGGGUAGCGGAAUUUCCGGUGUAGCGGUGAAAUGCGUAGAGAUCGGAAGGAACGUCAAUGGCGAAGGCAGCUGCCUGGAUAGAUACUGACGCUGAGGCGCGAGAGCGUGGGGAGCAAACAGG
rnacentral:rRNA from 1 species